rnacentral:rRNA from 1 species
AGAGUUUGAUCCUGGCUCAGGAUGAACGCUGGCGGCGUGCCUAAUACAUGCAAGUCGAACGAAACUUCUUUAUCACCGAGUGCUUGCACUCACCGAUAAAGAGUUGAGUGGCGAACGGGUGAGUAACACGUGGGCAACCUGCCCAAAAGAGGGGGAUAACACUUGGAAACAGGUGCUAAUACCGCAUAACCAUAGUUACCGCAUGGUAACUAUGUAAAAGGUGGCUAUGCUACCGCUUUUGGAUGGGCCCGCGGCGCAUUAGCUAGUUGGUGAGGUAAAGGCUUACCAAGGCAAUGAUGCGUAGCCGAACUGAGAGGUUGAUCGGCCACAUUGGGACUGAGACACGGCCCAAACUCCUACGGGAGGCAGCAGUAGGGAAUCUUCCACAAUGGGCGAAAGCCUGAUGGAGCAACGCCGCGUGGGUGAAGAAGGUCUUCGGAUCGUAAAACCCUGUUGUUAGAGAAGAAAGUGCGUGAGAGUAACUGUUCACGUUUCGACGGUAUCUAACCAGAAAGCCACGGCUAACUACGUGCCAGCAGCCGCGGUAAUACGUAGGUGGCAAGCGUUAUCCGGAUUUAUUGGGCGUAAAGGGAACGCAGGCGGUCUUUUAAGUCUGAUGUGAAAGCCUUCGGCUUAACCGGAGUAGUGCAUUGGAAACUGGGAGACUUGAGUGCAGAAGAGGAGAGUGGAACUCCAUGUGUAGCGGUGAAAUGCGUAGAUAUAUGGAAGAACACCAGUGGCGAAAGCGGCUCUCUGGUCUGUAACUGACGCUGAGGUUCGAAAGCGUGGGUAGCAAACAGGAUUAGAUACCCUGGUAGUCCACGCCGUAAACGAUGAAUGCUAAGUGUUGGAGGGUUUCCGCCCUUCAGUGCUGCAGCUAACGCAAUAAGCAUUCCGCCUGGGGAGUACGACCGCAAGGUUGAAACUCAAAGGAAUUGACGGGGGCCCGCACAAGCGGUGGAGUAUGUGGUUUAAUUCGAAGCAACGCGAAGAACCUUACCAGGUCUUGACAUCUUCUGACAAUCCUAGAGAUAGGACUUUCCCUUCGGGGACAGAAUGACAGGUGGUGCAUGGUUGUCGUCAGCUCGUGUCGUGAGAUGUUGGGUUAAGUCCCGCAACGAGCGCAACCCUUAUUGUUAGUUGCCAGCAUUAAGUUGGGCACUCUAGCAAGACUGCCGGUGACAAACCGGAGGAAGGUGGGGAUGACGUCAAAUCAUCAUGCCCCUUAUGACCUGGGCUACACACGUGCUACAAUGGACGGUACAACGAGUCGCAAGACCGCGAGGUUUAGCAAAUCUCUUAAAGCCGUUCUCAGUUCGGAUUGUAGGCUGCAACUCGCCUACAUGAAGUCGGAAUCGCUAGUAAUCGCGGAUCAGCAUGCCGCGGUGAAUACGUUCCCGGGCCUUGUACUCACCGCCCGUCA